ACAUCCCAAAGGCUUUUCAUCCUAUCUAUGUCAUGACAGCCCAAAGGCUUUUCAUCCUAUCUAUGUCAUGACAGCCCAAAGGCUUAUGUCCUACUGUUUUCUGCUGUGGUUUAGCCGUUAAACCCAUGCCAGGCCCUGGUGCGCAGACUGUCUGUCAUUAAUCUGGAGAACUUCAGGAGACAGUACGCACGACGGAGAUGGAAGAUGUCCAUCAGGAUUGUGUCUCUGUGUAACCACCUGACCAGGAUGAUGAGAAAAGGGCAGGAACAACAACAACAACAACAACAACAACAACAACAGGACCAGAGGAGCUGUGACAGCGACAACGAGGAAGAGACCAGGAAGACGAGACUACAGACCAGGAAGAGGAGUAACACUUCCUGAAGACAACAACCAAUCAAAAUGCCACCGUUCCUCCAUUCCACUUCCUGAAGUCAACAACCAACCAAAACACCACCGUUCCUCCAUUCCACUUCCUGAAGUCAACAACCAACCAAAACACCACCAUUCCUCCAUUCCACUUCCUGAAGUCAACAACCAACCAAAACACCACCAUUCCUCCAUUCCACUUCCUGAAGUCAACAACCAAGCACUAUUUAAAUCCAGUUUUCUAUGAAGUUAUAGUCUUUUCUCAGUGAAAGGUUAUAGACAUUAAGUCUUUUUUUUAAUGAUACUUCUGUAUGUUAGCUAGCUUUUUAUAAAUCUCUUUACAGUGUAGUGGUUGUAUAUGGCGGGACAUACAAGACAGCAGAAUGAAUCCGUUUGGGUUCUUACUGUAUUUUACAUCAGUGUUGCAUGUAUAAAAUAUGUUUUCCUAUUAGAUUAUGUGUCACGCCCUGUUUAUUCUCUAUGUUGGUUGGGGCGUGACAGUGACUAGGGUGGGUUAUCUAGGUGAUUAAUGAUUUAUGUUGGCCUGGUAUGGUUCCCACAUUCAGAGGCAGCUGUUUAUUCGUUGUCUCUGAUUGGGGAUCAUAUUUAGGCAGCCAUUUCCCCUUUGUGCUUUGUGGGAUGUUGUGUAGGUAUAAUUGCCUGCGAGCUCUACUCUGAGCUUCAUGUUUUUUUCUUUUUUUUCUUUGAGUUUCUUUUCCACAAUAAAAGGAUGGAAACACCA